rnacentral:rRNA from 1 species
AUGUCUUCCGCAAGCUCCCGCGCCACCUCACGGAUGCGGAGCCGGGCGCGUGUGGAGAUGCAUGUCUUCGUCUGUCCGCGGUGCCAGGCGAGCGUUGAUCGGAGGGUUUCUCACACAUCGAGGAACCAGAAUCGUCCGUUCUACGUGUGCAGCGAGAAUGGGGUAAGAAUCGGGGCAAUUGCACCAUUUUUGUGGUCGGGAUCUUUGAGCAAUGGGUUGAUCUGUUCCGUGUUCAUGCAGGUGACAUGCUUCUUUCUUUGGGUCGAUGCUCUGGCCAAGACUCUGAUAAAUGAACUGCAAGAAGAGCAUGAAGAAUGGUUGCGCAUGCUGCCCCGAACCGCAGUGGCCGUAGCAUGA